GGCCCCAUCACAUUGAAAGACUUGUUUCCAUCUAAUCACUGAAGUUAAGCAAUAGUGAUCCUGGUCAGUACCUUGAUGGGUGACUGCUUGGGAAUACCAGGUGCUGUAAG